rnacentral:rRNA from 1 species
UAAUACCAGCACCCCGAGUGGUCGGGACGAUUAUUGGGCCUAAAGCAUCCGUAGCCGGUUUUACAAGUCCUCCGUUAAAUCCAACUGCUUAACAGAUGGGCCGCGGAGGAUACUAUAAGACUAGGAGGCAGGGGAGGCAAGCGGUACUCAGUGGGUAGGGGUAAAAUCCGUUGAUCCAUUGAAGACCACCAGUGGCGAAGGCGG